rnacentral:lncRNA from 1 species
GGACGCCACUGACUGGCACAUGCUACAGCACAACCCAGUUUGAAGCCGCCACAUCUCAACUUCAGUAGCAAUGUGUGUCUCGUGGCAGUCAUCAUAGACAGCUCAGCUGUAAGCAGUAAACUCCCUGAGGGCUCAGAACCACAACAGCCUUACUGCUCUAUCCACAGCACCAGACUGUGCUUAACUCAAAGUAAGCCAAGUAUUUGAUAUUUUUUAAAAAAAUACAAUUUUAAGGAAUAAUUGUACGGAAGAAGAAAGGGAAGCCCAGAGAGAGGAAGGGAUUGACUCCACGGUCAUAGCACUAAUUAAUGGGAAACCACUACCAGCCCUCAUCUGGAGCUAUACACCCCAGCACCUCCUGGAAACUGGCGGCAUCACUCAGGCCAGUCUUCCCCACUGGAUGGAUAGGUAUUAUGUAAGCGGCAUUAACGUGCAAGGCACUGACUGCUGGAGAUGGUAUUUUGAAGUCCUCUGAACAGCUCUUAUAUUAUCAGUGGAGAUUUCCUUCAAGAUUCAGCCUUCAAUUUCUUCAGGCAAAGCUGCGAAGUGAGUCAGAGUUAACACUCCAUCCCCAGGUUCAACUGGAGGGGCAGGGGAGGCAGAGGUGGGGAACCUGUGGGCAGGAAUGAGA